GAGAGAUGGCUCAGUGGUUAAGAGCACUAACUGCCUUUCAGAGGACCUGGGUUCAAUUCCCAGCACUCA
rnacentral:tRNA from 1 species